rnacentral:rRNA from 1 species
GCGUUUGAAGUCAGUCAUAUCUGGUGGGAUUCAGCCGGGCUUUUGCCAGGUGUACUUCUCAUCCGAUGGGUCAGCAUCAAUUUCGACCGGGGGAAAAAGGCAUGGGGAAUGUGGCUGUCUUCGGGCAGUGUUAUAGCCCCGUGUUGUAUGCCUCGGUUGGGAUUGAGGAAUGCAGCGCGCCUUCGUGGCCAGGGGUUUACUCCUCUUGAAUCGCGCUUAGGAUGCUGGCAUAAUGGCUUUAAGCGACCCGUCUUGAAACACGGACCAAGGAGUC